rnacentral:rRNA from 1 species
ACCCCUUGAAGACGACGAGGUAGAUAGGGCAGAGGUGGAAGUGCGGUAACGCAUGGAGCUGACUGUUACUAAUAGGUCGAGGGCAUAACCAAA